GACAGAGGCCACGAACGUUGUUCGGAAUCACUGGGCAUAAAGCGCACGUAGGCGGCUAGGUCCGUCGGAUGUGAAAUCCCCCGGCUUAACCUGGGAACUGCGUCUGAUACUGGGAGGCUUGAGUAUGGGAGAGGGAUGUAGAAUUCCAGGUGUAGCGGUGAAAUGCGUAGAUAUCUGGAGGAAUACCGGUGGCGAAGGCGGCACUCCUGGACCAU
rnacentral:rRNA from 1 species